GCCACUGUAGCUCAGAUGGUAGAGCAACUGACUUGUAAUCAGUAGGUCAUCAGUUCAAUUCUGAUCAGUGGCUCCA
rnacentral:tRNA from 1 species